GACGAGCGCUGGCGGCGUGCUUAACACAUGCAUGUCGAACGAUGAUGCCCAGCUUGCUGGGUGGAUUAGUGGCGAACGGGUGAGUAACACGUGAGUAACCUGCCCCUGACUCUGGGAUAAGCGUUGGAAACGACGUCUAAUACUGGAUAUGACUGCCGGCCGCAUGGUCUGGUGGUGGAAAGAUUUUUUGGUUGGGGAUGGACUCGCGGCCUAUCAGCUUGUUGGUGAGGUAAUGGCUCACCAAGGCGACGACGGGUAGCCGGCCUGAGAGGGUGACCGGCCACACUGGGACGGAGACACGGCCCAGACUCCUACGGGAGGCAGCAGUGGGGAAUAUUGCACAAUGGGCGAAAGCCUGAUGCAGCAACGCCGCGUGAGGGAUGACGGCCUUCGGGUUGUAAACCUCUUUUAGUAGGGAAGAAGCGAAAGUGACGGUACCUGCAGAAAAAGCACCGGCUAACUACGUGCCAGCAGCCGCGGUAA
rnacentral:rRNA from 1 species